GAUGCAACGCGAAAAACCUUACCCACCUUUGACAUGUAUGGAAUCCUUUAGAGAUAGAGGAGUGCUCGAAAGAGAGCCAUAACACAGGUGCUGCAUGGCUGUCGUCAGCUCGUGUCGUGAGAUGUUGGGUUAAGUCCCGCAACGAGCGCAACCCUUGCCAUUAGUUGCUACGAAAGGGCACUCUAAUGGGACUGCCGGUGACAAACCGGAGGAAGGUGGGGAUGACGUCAAGUCCUCAUGGCCCUUAUAGGUGGGGCUACACACGUCAUACAAUGGCUGGUACAGAGGGUUGCCAACCCGCGAGGGGGAGCUAAUCCCAUAAAGCCAGUCGUAGUCCGGAUCGCAGUCUGCAACUCGACUGCGUGAAGUCGGAAUCGCUAGUAAUCGCGGAUCAGAAUGUCGCGGUGAAUACGUUCCCGGGUCUUGUACACACCGCCCGUCACACCAUGGGA
rnacentral:rRNA from 1 species